GACGAACGCUGGCGGCGUGCUUAACACAUGCAAGUCGAACGGAAAGGCCCUGCUUUUGUGGGGUGCUCGAGUGGCGUACGGGUGAGUAACACGUGAGUAACCUGCCCUUGACUUUGGGAUAACUUCAGGAAACUGGGGCUAAUACCGGAUAGGAGCUCCUGCUGCAUGGUGGGGGUUGGAAAGUUUCGGCGGUUGGGGAUGGACUCGCGGCUUAUCAGCUUGUUGGUGGGGUAGUGGCUUACCAAGGCUUUGACGGGUAGCCGGCCUGAGAGGGCGACCGGCCACAUUGGGACUGAGAUACGGCCCAGACUCCUACGGGAGGCAGCAGUGGGGAAUAUUGCACAAUGGGCGGAAGCCUGAUGCAGCAACGCCGCGUGCGGGAUGACGGCCUUCGGGUUGUAAACCGCUUUCGCCUGUGACGAAGCGUGAGUGACGGUAAUGGGUAAAGAAGCACCGGCUAACUACGUG
rnacentral:rRNA from 1 species